rnacentral:rRNA from 1 species
UACGUAGGGAGCAAGCGUUGUCCGGAAUUAUUGGGCGUAAAGAGCUCGUAGGCGGUUUGUCGCGUCUGCUGUGAAAACCUAAGGCUCAACCUUGGGCUUGCAGUGGGUACGGGGCAGACUAGAGUGCGGUAGGGGGUGACUGGAAUUCCUGGUGUAGCGGUGGAAUGCGCAGAUAUCAGGGAGGAACACCGAUGGCGAAAGGCAGGUC